GAGUGGCAUGAUGGACUCGUCCCUGGGAAGUUGACCAUUCGGGAACCACGGCCCUCGAAGUCAUGGUACCUCAGUCUCAGUGGGAUCUUCCUUUCCUAAAUGAGGAACGGGACUCAAAGAGGAACACCCCAAGGUCAUACAGCGAGUCUGUGGCUAGGCAUGGGCUUCACCCAGCUCCUUCCUCUGGAAAAGGCCCAAGAGGAGGACCCAGCUGCAGCUCAAGAUGUGGAUGGAGACCUCUGGGGGAGGGGAGGCAGGGGAGUCUGGCUCCAAGCUUCUUGCAUCAGCCUCAGAUGAUGAAACCCUGUGAGACGUCUUGGCUGGGAUGUCUGCUCAGACUUCCAGCAGUAGGUGACCUUCUGACUCAGAGCUCCGCUGCUGGGAAAUGCCACCAGAGCUUUCCUCUCUGUGUCUCCUGACAUCCAGGGUGUGCAGCUAGGAGUCUUUCUGUGAAGCACAUGCUACCACUAAAACUCAUGAUCCUCCUGCCUCAGCAUCCAGAGAA
rnacentral:lncRNA from 1 species